AACGAACGCUGGCGGCAUGCCUAACACAUGCAAGUCGAACGAGACCUUCGGGUCUAGUGGCGCACGGGUGCGUAACGCGUGGGAAUCUGCCCUUGGGUUCGGAAUAACAGUUGGAAACGACUGCUAAUACCGGAUGAUGACGUAAGUCCAAAGAUUUAUCGCCCAAGGAUGAGCCCGCGUAGGAUUAGCUAGUUGGUGAGGUAAAGGCUCACCAAGGCGACGAUCCUUAGCUGGUCUGAGAGGAUGAUCAGCCACACUGGGACUGAGACACGGCCCAGACUCCUACGGGAGGCAGCAGUGGGGAAUAUUGGACAAUGGGCGAAAGCCUGAUCCAGCAAUGCCGCGUGAGUGAUGAAGGCCUUAGGGUUGUAAAGCUCUUUUACCCGGGAUGAUAAUGACAGUACCAGGAGAAUAAGCUCCGGCUAACUCCGUG
rnacentral:rRNA from 1 species